GGAGGUUGGCAUAUUAGACAACAUCUAUGAACAAGAUGACAUAGUACAUUCAAAUUGAGUGACUUUGAGUGGACAGAGUUUAAAGAACAUGAGAUCUAUUAACCACUUCUUGUCUUGAAAGGUCAGCAGGAGAAAAUAGUAGAUUGCAAGAAUGGUGGUGGGCAGUAUGGAGAGAGCAGGCUGAAGAGAACUAUGGCUUCAGGCCAUAGUAAGCCCUGAUGAUUCAACAGAUGGGGCUGAGAAAAUCAAAUAACAUGAAUGAGUUCUGCCACUGGUCAAGCACAGGAACUAACAUCAAAAGCGAGUCUGUUGAGCACUGAAGCACAUGUUCUUUCUUCUCUUGCUGGGCUUCCUCAUGGCUUGUUGGUCCAAGAACAGACAAUACCAAGAAGAUCCUAGAAGAGGCUAAGCCACAUAAGAUGCAUUUCCAAACUGCAAAGUCACUCUUUCCAGGAGAAGAGUGGGCAGUGGGCAGAGAGAAGCCAGGACCAGGAGACUAAUUCUGAUAGAGAAUGUGUUGGUGUUGCCUUUGGAAUAGGCCAAUGAAAGCAUGUGAAGAUUUUUGAGGCAUCAAUGAAAAGAGCUUGGAUCCCUAAUUUUGGGCAUGGACAGAAAGGGAACCCUACCACACACCUUUGUCUACUUGUUUUCCUCUAACACCACACAUUCAAAUAUAGAUGUCUAGUGUCCAGCCAGGACCUGAAUAGGGACCAUCAUUAUAAAUAUUCUUUAUUCUAACCCUAGCAUCUAGCCCAGUACCGAGAAAUGGUGAAUCAAUAGUAUAUGCUAAAUCAGUACAUUAAUUUAAACAUCAAAGACAUUAUGUGUUCACUUUGGUUGGACCCCUUGUUUCUUAGAUAUUCCUAGGGCAAUCCUGAAUGGCAAGAGCAGAGGCAAUAGAGGAAAGCAAGGGACCACAGGGUUUUGUCACUUCAACCAUCAAAACAAGAGAGAUGCAUGCCAUAGUGAGAAAAAGAGCUAUUCUAAAAUAGAACUGGCUCUCAUACAAGAGAGUGAGCUGUGGGCAGGGUAGAAGGGAGGUGGAGGUGGAGGCAGGGUGGCAUCAAGCAGAAGCUGCAUGACCAUGAGUUGCAUUGAGGACAGUGCAAUAGAGGGAUGCCUGCACAGAGUCAGAGCUGGACUGUAUCACCAUCCCCACCCCUGGCUGAAGCAGAAUUAACUGUGGAUGAGAUUUUCUAAAAAAAACUCAUUCCUAGGCCCUCUACUUAGAAAUUUUGAUUUUUUUUGAAGAAAAAAAAUAUUUUUUUCUUAUUAUUUUGAGAGAGAGAGAAAGUGUGAGUCAGGGAGGGACAAAGAGAGAGGGAGGGAGGGAGAAUCCCAAGCAGGCUCUGUGCUGUCAGCACUCUAUCUCACCAACCCUGAGAUCAUGACCUGAGCUGAAGUCCAACGCUUAACCAACUGAGCCACCCAGAUGCCCCAGAAACUUUGAUUUAAUACAUUUGAAUUGUAUCUAAACAUCUUUGAGUUUUAAUUAACAUACAAAAAGUGCACCCAUUAAAGUGCAAAGGUUGAUAAGUUUUAACAUACAUGCAUGCACAUACCUAUCAUAAUCAAGACAGAACAUUUACAUAACUCCCAAAAUUUCCCUUAGAUUCUUUGUGGUCAGUUGUCCCCUUCCCAGUUCCAGGCCUCCAGUGAUCUGCUUUUUGUCACUACAAAUGAGUUUGCCUGGUCUAGAUUUGAUAUGUGGCAUCUAUAGGAUGAACUGUUUUUUUUUUUUUUUAAUGUUUAUUUUUUCGAAAGAAAGAGGGAGAGACAGAGUGCAAGUGGGGCAGGGGCAGAGAGAGAGAGAGAGGGAGUCACAGAAUCUGAAGCAGGCUCCAGGCUCUGAGCUGUCAGCACAGAGCCUGACACAGGGCUCGAACCCACGAGAGAUCAUGCCCUGAGCCAAAGUCAGAUGCUUAACCGGCUGAGCUACCCAAGUGCCUCUAUAGUAUGAACUCUUACGUGUCUGGCGUCUUUCCUUCAGCACAAUGUUUUUGAGGUUCAUUCAUAUUUCCAGGUGUAUCAGUAGUUUGUUCUUUUUUUUGCUGUGUAAUAUUCUAUUACAUAGAUAUUCCACAAUUUAUUUAUGCAUUAAUUCAUUGAUAGGUAUAUGUGUUGUU